CUUACGUGAACUGUGAUUGGCUCGCGGGAGCCUGAAUUUAAAGGCACCGCGCCGUCUAGGGGCUGGAGUAAGGGAAGAGGUCUGUAGAGUUCGUUGCGGAGUCAGAUCACUCAGAUAUGCGCUGGAAGAAACUGAGAAAUUACCUAGCCUAGUCCUGGUCAUCCGCUACUUUCAGGAGCCCAAAGAGAUUGAGUCACUAGCUCAACUCCACACUAUACUCUUCCAGAGACUAGGAAAGAGUCUCCAAACCCUGGAGCUAGCUGAGACAGCUUCAGAUUCCACAGCAGCCCUAUCUCUCGCCACUACCUCCCUGCCCCAGCAGAGAAGGAGAGCAAAGGAAACUAACAUUUACUGA
rnacentral:lncRNA from 1 species